GUGUUGUAUGAAAGGAGAGAAGGUUAGCACUCCCCUUGAUAAGGAUGGAAGAGGCCCCUGUGGCCUGUACAACAUGCAUAUGGUUAAGGCACUGGCACCUACUUCAUGGCAUCUAACCAUGUUUUUAG
rnacentral:ncRNA from 1 species